GUGGAGUUAGUGGAUUCUGCACACUCUCAAGGAGUUGUCUUAAAUGACUUACGGCCAUCUUGUUUCUUUUUACUGCAAUCAAGUAGAGUUAAAUACACUGGUUCUUCUACUUGAUGUGAGAGAAUUAGAGGGUGUGAUGUGUCAAGAAUCAUUUCGGAAAAGGCCAUUGGAACAAAAUGAGCAUGCCUACCUUAGUUUGGGUGCAAAGCAGCGAAGAAUAUAACCCCAAGUUCUGGUAAUGAAAUUUUAGGACGAUUUGAAAUUCUGGGUUUUGUGAAUUUUUCAAGAAAGCAGUGUGUGAGGCGGCUCCAACUAAGAAAGCAGACUCAGCUGCAAAGAGGGCUCGUCAAGCUGAGAAAAGG